UUUCUUCUACCAAGUCAUGCAUAUCAACUAUAUCACCAAAUUCUCCAUUUGAAACUUUUAUGAGAGACUUUUGAACCAACACCUUCACCCCUAUACGAGGGUGUAAAUUACAAGCAUCAAGCACCAUCAUUGCGUUGUCUAUCAGCUUUCUUCUAAAAAAACAAGCAAUAUCUAAGAAUAAUUUUUGAUGGUCGGGUUCAAGUCCAUCAUAACUUAUUUUGAGUCUUUCGAAAAGAACCUAGAAUUUCAAGUGCUAAUGGGAGCCCACUAGCAUAAGAGACUACAUCUUUUGAAAGCAUCUCGUAAUCUUCUAUAGGUUCAUCUUUCCGAUAUGCAUGUUUGUUGAAGAGCUCCAUAGCCUCAUCUUGUGAUAACAAACUCACUUCAUAUAUCGUGCUUGCAUGGCGGGUUAGCAAAUGCUCAUCCCUUGUUGUAAUUAUUAUCCUGCUUCCCUCACCAAACCAAGCAUGUGAUCCGGCUAGAGCCUCUAGUUGCUUAAGGUCAUCAACAUCGUCAAGAACAACUAAUACGUUUUUAUUACGUAACCUUCUU
rnacentral:lncRNA from 1 species